GACGGAGGGCGCGAGCGUUGUUCGGAAUUACUGGGCGUAAAGCGCGCGCAGGCGGAUGUGUAAGUCGGUGGUGAAAUACUGGGGCUCAACCCUGGGGCUGCUGCCGAUACUGCAUGUCUGGGGACCGGUAGAGGCUGGUGGAAUUCCCGGUGUAGCGGUGGAAUGCGUAGAUAUCGGGAGGAACACCCGUGGCGAAGGCGACCGGCUGGGCCGGAUCCGACGCUGAGGCGCGAAAGCGUGGGGAGCAAACAGG
rnacentral:rRNA from 1 species